AAAACGACCCUUUUAAGGGCCACCACUACUUAUCUACAAAUUUUA
rfam:Macrostomum lignano uti_cns_0010924, whole genome shotgun sequence.